GUGACGUCACCAGCCUCAGACACAGCCACUUCCCUACCCAGGCCCAGCCCCCACGCGCUGUUCAGGGGACCCGGACUGGUUCUCCAUUCUCAUGCGGUCACCCAAGUGGACUUGCUCCCCGCACACAGCCCUGGCUCUGAGCUUUGAGGUCUGUGCUGACUUCCCAAAGCCUGGUCUCUGGUGAGUUUAACCUUCCACCUCGGUGCCAAAACCCAGGGAUCGGUAGUGCCAGGUCCCAUCUCCCAGGCAACGUGGGGCUGAAGGGCAGAAGACAAAAACGGUGAUGGUCCGGCCGCUGCCUUUGCCUGGAGUGCCCCUGCCCACGGCAACCAUCUGGCAAACUCCUACUCAUCCUUCAAGACCCAACUUCAAGGGCUCCUCUUCUGUGAAGCCUUCCCAUCAGACCCGAGCAGAAUGACAUCAAGAUAGGGAGACUGGCAUUUUCUCAUAAACGUUGGGACAUGCUGAAAAAGCCACUCACCAUAAAGGAAAAAAUGCAUGUCA